AUGCUGUUGUACACCGUCCAGUUCCUCUGCUCCGUGGUCGCUGCCUUCGCCCGCCUCGUCCGCGCCCUCCGCAAGGCCAUGGCAUCCGUCCUCUGCUCCCCGCCGGUCUCCCUGCCCGCCACGACCUCCCCUGCGUCCGCGCCGCUCUCCAUGCGGAGGAAGGCGCACCCGGCUCUCAGCGUCACCGUGGGGGAUGCGCUGCGUGAGCGUGACCAGAGGGAGGCCAGGGAGCAGCUGCUGAUUGCGCCGGCGGUGGAUGCUUUUGCGGCGUGCAACGGCGGUGGUGGCGCCGCGCAGCAGGUCGAAUCCGCGAAGAAGACGGCGCGGGGUGCGAGGAAGAGGCCGUCGAUGCUGGUCAUACCCGUCGCCCCUGAGGCCGUCGAGGUGGCGGCUGGCUGGGGGACCGUUGUGGCCGACAAGGAGGCCGAGGUGGAGGUGGAGGGGGAAGGGUUUUGCUUGGCGAGCAGGAGAGGGGCGAGGCAUGCAAUGGAGGAUGCAUAUGGCGUGAUCGCUCAGAAAGUUGGAGGAGAUUCCCAGCUGGCAUUCUACGGUGUGUACGACGGACACGGCGGCCGCGCAGCGGUGGACUUCGUCUCCGACCACCUCGGCAAGAACGUGGUCGCUGCUGUGCUGGCCACGACGACGGAGGAGGCGCUGGAAGCAGAGCCGUCGUCGUGGUCGACGACGGAUGCUGUCUCGGCGGCCAUCAGAGCCGCCUACUUGGCCACCGACAGCGAGCUCGUCAAGCAGGGCCUCAGAGGUGGCUCAUGUGCCGCAACGGCGCUGGUCAAGGACGGCGACAUCUACGUGGCGAACCUCGGCGACUGCCGCGCCGUCAUGUGCCGCGACGGCGUGGCGACUGCCGUGACCUCCGACCACACCGCCGCGAGGGAGGACGAGAGGUCCCGCAUCGAGAGCUCGGGUGGCUACGUGAGCUGCGGCAGCAACGGCGUGUGGAGGGUGCAGGACUGCCUGGCCGUGUCGCGGGCGUUCGGCGACGCCGACCUCAAGCGGUGGGUGAUCUCCGAGCCAGAGAUCCGGAGGCUUCCCCUCACCGCCGGCUGCGAGUUCCUCGUCCUCGCCUCCGACGGCCUCUGGAACAAGGUGUCCAACCAGGAGGCCGUGGACGCCGUCUCGAGGAGCAGCGCCGGUCGUGACUCCACAGGGUGCUGCAAGGAGCUUGUGGACAUGGCGCGGUGUAGAGGGAGCAGGGAUGACAUCACCGUCAUGGUGGUCGACCUCAAGAGGUUCAUGAUAUAG
rnacentral:rRNA from 1 species